rnacentral:lncRNA from 1 species
CACGAUGUGGCUGGGAAGAAAAAAAAAAGAUGGGGGGAGAAGGUGCUUGCUGUGGGAGAAAUCUUUAGAGCCUCCUCUUCCCCCAGAGCUUUCUUUUAAAGGUGCUCCUUCCCCAACCCUGAGCCAAAGAUGGACUGCGAUUGGUGAGCUUAAUAUGCAGGGUGGAAAGCGUAGACUUGAAUGUUUCUUUAAAAUUCAUAACAGGAAUGGAGGUGCUAAAAUCCACAUCGAUAUAACUGGUUUCACUAGUCGCUGUUUAACUAUCCAGUCAAAUGGAUUAGUUAGAAUGUUUUCUUCUUUUUUCAGCAAAGCCACACAGACACCUGACGUAAGACAAACAGCAUUAAAACUGCCUUUUAAACACGUUUUGUAUGUAUUUUGAACCGUGUUAGUCGUAGUUGCAGAAUAACAUUCCUUCAUUUGAAAUGACUGGAGCUUCUUACAUUUUUUUACAUUUAUUUUAAUGCUUGUGAUCAUUUUCGAAGCACUAACGACUUUUGGUGACUGUAAUAUGUUGUAAAGAGAACGUAAAUAAAAAUAAAAUCCCCACGUCGCCAGCUGUUGUCAACAGAAGACAAAAGUAAACCCAGCUGAAAGUGCCUGCCGUGUCUUUCUUUCUGUGCCGAGUGCUAAGCUUUCUGUAAAUUUGUCACGUACGUCUCUGCCAAGACUCACUUUUAUGAACUUUUCAAAAGACGAAGGUCCUUCCAAAAUGAUAUAGUUACCAUUUGAAAUAUUUGAAUAUGCUUAUUGCUGGGAAGAGAAGUAAAACUCAUUAUAGAACAGCACUAACCUUAUUAGCUAUCUGAAAGCUUUUUGCAUUUUCAAAAAGACCAUUUUAGUGGAUGUAAUCUGGCGGUUUUAAAUGCUGCACAGUGAUCACCAGGUGGUUUUCUUGUAAGUACAAAAGGAAUUCAGUUUUGAAAUUAAACUUUUAAGCUUUCCUGCAUGAUGGUGGCAGGUGAGCGCUAAAAUGGGUUCUCCUCAUCAUGCCCUUUGCAAUCCUACAAUCAAAAAGUAAUAAUGAUGAACAGGAAAUAAAAGCCUAGCAACCAUUUACCACCCUUUCACAAAAUGGCAAAAUAACAUACAAUUUUUUAGGGGAUUUUUUUCCCCCCUGAAUUAACAUGCUGGUGGGAUUUAGUGAGCAUAACCUUUUCAAAAAUACUAUGCCUCAUUUUUCACAUCAGAGUCUUUAACAGAUGUGCGCUGACUUGCCCGGAGACAGUGUAUGACUGACUGGCCAAUGGGAAACCACGGAAUGCUGCAAAUGUAGGUUUAUUUUGGUUUUUUCUAACAACCAUAAUUAAGUGUGUUAAAAAUUCAAUUUAAAGCUAAUGCAGAUGAAAUUUUUGUAUUAUCUUGUAACAUUGUGGAACAGAUGCUUAUAUGCUGCGCUUCCCAAAGUUAAACUGGAUGGAUGAUAAUGCCCAGUAUAAGCCAGACUUUAGCCAGAAAUUAGUUGGGGAGUAAUAAAGCCAGAUUGCUUGCCUGAGCCACCCAAAGUUUCCAAAUGUAUGAGCAACUUCAGCCAUCCCUGAAGUUGCUCAUACAUUGAGGUAUAUUUUGCUGUUACAGCUGUUACAAAGUGUUGUGAGGAUUUUAGAACAGGAUUUGUGGCUUCAAACACAGUCUCGGGAUUGGUGGGACAAAAGUAAAACAAAAAGACAAAAACAAAAUUUGACUAUUCAUGGACUUGCACAAAGUUGCAAGUUUCUUUCUGUUUGGCAGUAAUGUAGAGGAUGCAAGAAUCGGACCAUGCAGGUUAACUAUGACCUUUAAAAACUGGGUCAUGUAUUCACCAGCUAAAGCUGCCUAUUUAGAAUUGACAAACAACUAUGUUGUAAAAUAUAAAAAGUGUAUAUUAUUACACUAAACUUUUUCUUGGAUAAACACAUCAGAAGCUGAAAAAAGAUAUCUGUAACUUUUACAAAGUAUUAACAUUAAAAGAGCAUCAUCAGAUUUUAUUUAAAUGAUUUAAAGUUGACACAGUAGCAUCAGCACACUCCUGUCUGUUGAUAUCCUCUUCACCAAUAAAUAAAUCAAUAAAUAAAUGAGAAUUAAGUCACUCAUCAGUCAAAACAUACAGAUUGCCUAAAUAUAUAAGUAGAAGGUUAACAGGCAAAUAUGUAGUUAAUACAUGGUAGCUUCGUGUAGCGUUAUUGUUAAAAAAUGUCCUUUUUAGAAUGACACAACAACAACAACACAUCCACCCUGACUUUACCCGUUGGUUUGUGGACUUUCUAGAUAGUGUUUCAAAAUUUUGACUUAAUAAUUCAAAAUUUUAAGUUAGGUUUGUUGAAACUUAGAGGCGGUCAUUCAUUGAGUUGAAAUUUUGAGACAAUAACCUCUGAGUUUUGAGAUAAUAACACAGAGGGAAAAGGGCUAAGCUGUCUGCUAACUUGGUUAGCAAGGCACCUUCACAGAUAACUGCUAAUUACAGUACAGCUGUGCUAAAUUGCUAAUAAUAUUCAAAUUUUACUUACCAGAACUGAGCAUCAGAGUUAUUAUUCAGUCUUGUGGCACAAUAAACCAUGCAAUAAGCACAUUAUUUGGGAGCUAACUGCAUGAUAAAUGCUCCAAACAGCACAAACAUGAUUAAGGAGUAGUAGUAGUUAAGCAUCUUCAGCUAACGAUGCAGGUUUGCGCCUAGUCAGAACCCACCUGUCAUUCAAGGUAGUAGCAGCAUUUCUAUGCCCUUCAAAUUGAGAAAUUUAGACUUGAUCAAAUUUAAAUAAAUUAGUUAUUAAAAAAUUUCCCCACACAGCCGUGAACAAGGAAAUUGAUCAAAGCCCUUUUUUUGUACCAGGCUGUAAAUAUGCAUCUGCUUAUUUACACAGGAGUCUACUGGGAUUAACUCCCUUGCCAAGUAAAAAGACUAAGUAUGCACUGAAGGCAUUAUCUGUCUGCUUACACUCAUGUAUACCAUUUUCUAUCACAAUUAUCAGCUGCUUGCCACAAAUGAAGCAAUGUUUGUUAAUUCAACUUUAUUUUUCGAAUGAAUCAAAGUAUCUGUGAGUGUUUAUAGCUCUCUUUUAUAUUUCUUGUAAUUAAGUCCAGUGUGAAAUUCUAAAGGGUUUUGAUGUGUGAGGAUUUCAUUUUUGCACAUAUUUAUUUAUAACUUUUUCUUAAUAAAUUGGUGACAUUUAGUACAAAGAUUUAGGUCAUCAUCAGUGAAAUAUACAACCUCCAAAUUAGAUUUAAAGAUACUUUUUCUCUUAGAAGGUUACUCAUUUAAUUGACCUGUACGAUCACUUCUCUGGCUUAUAUCUUAGACACUUUAAUAAGAAGCUUUAUCUUCACAGUUUUAUGCUGAAUUUCAAACAACCAUGCUAAUAUACCAUUAAAAAUAAAAGACCUUUACUACAGAGAAACUCAUUGUACAGGCGCUUAGACCUAAAGUACAAAGUUCAUACAGGAUUAGAUGCGAUGCAAUGCAAGCAGACACCAAGCACAGAAUCUGCUCCAAAAGCAAUUGGCAAAAAGUGAUAAGACAUUGGUGCACAUUAGAUACAAGAUCAUCUGCUGCAUCUGUUGUGUGGGCGCAGUGGUCAUGACCCACCUUAUGUAGUAAAUAACUUGGACUUUAAGCUAAUUUAAGUGUUGUGUUGGCAGUGAGUCACAUUGAUUUCAUGCACAAAACAAAUGAAGAAAUCAUUUCAGCGCUAUACAAUAACACAGCAGUUUCUCACUAUCAUUACUGUUCACAAAACAGCUGGACACUGUACUUGCCUUUGCAUGAUAAUGAGUCUUAAUGAGAAUUCUUAAGGGUCACUAACGGUCCCUCAUUAUGAUGUUUGUUAGAAAUGCUGCAUGUUAUGUUGCUAGCAAGGUUUCACUUGUAGUGUUGACACGAGUGAUUGAAGAGCCAUUGUUCUCUAACAGGCCGUGUGUGUUGUGACAGGAGGUAGUGACGUAUUAAGCAGGUGCAGGUACUUGCUGUGUGUGUGUGGGACCAUUUGGUCACGGUAGGGUUGAUGGGUGUGAAUAUGAAGAAGCCCUGGGAAAGGAGUGGAGUAAUGGGGAGGGCCAGUGGAGCCGGGGUAUAUGGGUCAGGUUACCCUGACAAGAGUUUUUGGUAGUGGGGGUGCCAGGCCCAAAAAAGCCACCAGUGUCUUCCACACAUGGGAGGAGAGUCUCAACUGUGGCCGCGGUCCAUGAGUGCUGUUCUUCACAUUAUAACCCG